ACGAAGGAAAGAAAAUGAAAAUGGAGAUUUUGAUUAAAAUUCUUCCAAAAUUCAUAACUUGAGCUAGAGACCUUCAAAUCACUCCGUUCCAAAGCCAAACCUGUGAGAAAUUUUGAGAGGAAUCUAUUCGUACCAGUAUUUCUGAGUGGGGUUUACUGUAGAGAGAGAUCUUCUCCCCCAAAGAAUUCGAAUUUCAUGGAAAAUAUGGGUUUUGAUGGAGCUUGAAGCCAUGGGAGCUUGAAGCAAGCUUCUCCCUUCAUUCUAGGUGUACCUAGGGACUGUGAACGUUUGGAUUCUCGUGGAGUAUGAUAAGUAGCUUGUUCUUCAAGUAAGCAGAUUGUAAAGCUCAAAGAGGAACACAGUUAAUUGAAGAGCCUCAUGGGACAAGGACACUAACCGUGGCUAGAGGUACUAGUAUGAGGAUGUGGAGUUCUGGGUGGUCGGAUGCUACUAUUUGUUUUAGACGUAUUUUUGGAAAAGAUGUAUUGUUGCAUAGUGUUCAUAUUCGAUACAUGUACAUUUAUGUAUUCAGGCAUGAUGAUAUGACUAUGUAGUAUU